UGAUGAGUAAUGAAAUCCUGUCUCUGGGUGUUUCAGGACUGCAUGGUGUAGGGCGAGGAGGCCCUGUAGAUGUGUGUCAUGAAGCUUCUCACCGCCUGAGUGACCUCAUAAAGGGAGCACUUUCUCAUUCAAAAUGAUGAUGCAUAAGCAGUCGGCCCGUACCUCGCCGGGUAGUGUUUGUUCUCUGCGUGGAGGAGGUGUUCCUGGAUCCCCGGCGGUCACUAUAGUGGCCAAAAUGGACAAUCAAGUGAUUGGAUAUAAGGAUCUAGCAGCUAUACCUAAAGACAAGGCCAUCCUGGAUAUAGAGAGGCCUGACCUGAUGAUGUAUGAGCCCCACUUCAGCUAUUCACCGAUGGAGAGGUCAUUAUCUCCUCGUUCAAUCUCCCCUCCUCCAUCUCCAGAGAGCAGUCUAUCAAAGGAUGUCUAUCAGAGGGAUUGGUCAGAGCCCAAGUCAUCAGGCAGCUCGUCUCCAGCAUCCACACAGCUGAGUAAAAGUAUCACCGUCAGCACAAAAGUCCCACACCAGCAACAGCACUUCCACAGGCCAGACAAUGGAACCAACAUAUACAAGAAGCCACCAAUAUAUAAACAAGAUGUCUCAGCAGCUGUUCCACACAGUAAACACAUUGAGGAUUUAAUCAUCGAGUCUUCAAAGUUUCCCGCCGCACAGCCUCCAGACCCCAACAAGCCCUCUAAGAUAGAGACGGACUACUGGCCCUGCCCUCCCUCUCUAGCUGUUAUCGAGAAAGAGCGGAGGAAGAGUGUGGUGUCCAGGGUGGCUGAGGAAGAGGAGGGUGAGGAGGAUGAUAAGUAUGAUGACAAUGAAGACAUGUGGAGACUUCGGCAAAUGCAGAAACAAGAGCUCAACAAGAUUCAAUCCAAUCUAGGAAAAUUGAUACUAAAGGAGGAGAUCGAAAGCUCAGCCCCCGUGCGAAGGAAAACGCGGUCUCUGCCCGACAGGACACACAUGCAACUGGCCUCCAAAUCCCCCUCAUUUCCUUCCUACAGUAAGACUGGCCUGACUAGGUCUGCUGUUUGUGUGUUACAGCUCCAGUCUGCAGAGUUCUCCUCUUCAAACAGUGACAAAGGGACUCAAAAAUGGAGAAGCCCAAAGCAGAAGAAUAGACAGAGGGAAUUCACUCCCUAGUAUGCUGGAACAAAAGAUUUACCCAUAUGAGAUGCUCAUUGUGACACACAGAGGCAGAAACAAACUCCCUCCUGGUGUAGACAGGACAAGACUGGAGAGGCACCUGUCACCUGAGGAAUUCCAGAAUGUCUUUGGAAUGUCCAUUGAGGAAUUCGACCGGCUCUCCUUUUGGAAGCGGAACGACCUGAAAAAGAAAGUCUCUCUCUUCUAGUAGUCAGAGAAACACGCUCUUAUACAAACACUGUCACGCGUCUGCACUUCCGCUUGUGAAAACAAUACAGGCGAUACAAGUUAAGGAAAGAUGAGGAAUGUGAAAUGAGGAAUGUGAUUAUGGAGCCAGCAAAAACAAAA